rnacentral:rRNA from 1 species
UACGGGGGGAGCAGGCGUUGUUCGGAUUUACUGGGCGUAAAGGGCGCGUAGGCGGCCAGCGCAAGUCAGUUGUGAAAUCUCCGGGCUUAACCCGGAAAGGUCAGCCGAUACUGCGGGGCUAGAGUGCAGAAGGGGCAACUGGAAUUCUCGGUGUAGCGGUGAAAUGCGUAGAUAUCGAGAGGAACACCUGCGGCGAAGGCGGGUUGCUGGGCUGACACUGACGCUGAGGCGCGAAAGCUAGGGGAGCGAACGGG